UGGGGAACAUUGGACAAUGGGGGCAACCCUGAUCCAGCCAUGCCGCGUGUGUGAAGAAGGCCUUUUGGUUGUAAAGCACUUUAAGCAGGGAGGAGAGGCUAAUGGUUAAUACCCAUUAGAUUAGACGUUACCUGCAGAAUAAGCACCGGCUAACUCUGUGCCAGCAGCCGCGGUAAUACAGAGGGUGCGAGCGUUAAUCGGAAUUACUGGGCGUAAAGCGAGUGUAGGUGGCUCAUUAAGUCACAUGUGAAAUCCCCGGGCUUAACCUGGGAACUGCAUGUGAUACUGGUGGUGCUAGAAUAUGUGAGAGGGAAGUAGAAUUCCAGGUGUAGCGGUGAAAUGCGUAGAGAUCUGGAGGAAUACCGAUGGCGAAGGCAGCUUCCUGGCAUAAUAUUGACACUGAGAUUCGAAAGCGUGGGUAGCAAACAGGAUUAGAUACCCUGGUAGUCCACGCCGUAAAACGAUGUCUACUAGCCGUUGGGGUCCUUGAGACUUUAGUGGCGCAGUUAACGCGAUAAGUAGACCGCCU
rnacentral:rRNA from 1 species